AACGCACAUUGCGCCUGCCAGUAUUCUGGCAGGCAUGCCUGUCCGAGCGUCAUUUCAACCCUCAGGCUCUCUUCGGGGAGCCUGGCGUUGGGGAUCAGCCCAAGUCUCGCACCCGUCACGGUUGCUGCCGGCUGUCCCCCAAAUACAGUGGCGGUCUCGUUGCAGCCCCCUUGCGCAGUAGCUAACACCUCGCACCGGAGCCUCAUCGUUACCACGCCGUGAAACCCCCAUAUUUUACCAAUGGUUGACCUCGGAUCAGGUAGGAAUACCCGCUGAACUUAA
rnacentral:misc_RNA from 1 species